ACGAACGCUGGCGGCGUGGAUAAGACAUGCAAGUCGAACGAGAGAAUUGCUAGCUUGCUAAUAAUUCUCUAGUGGCGCACGGGUGAGUAACACGUGAGUAACCUGCCCCCGAGAGCGGGAUAGCCCUGGGAAACUGGGAUUAAUACCGCAUAGUAUCGAAAGAUUAAAGCAGCAAUGCGCUUGGGGAUGGGCUCGCGGCCUAUUAGUUAGUUGGUGAGGUAACGGCUCACCAAGGCGAUGACGGGUAGCCGGUCUGAGAGGAUGUCCGGCCACACUGGAACUGAGACACGGUCCAGACACCUACGGGUGGCAGCAGUCGAGAAUCAUUCACAAUGGGGGAAACCCUGAUGGUGCGACGCCGCGUGGGGGAAUGAAGGUCUUCGGAUUGUAAACCCCUGUCAUGUGGGAGCAAAUUAAAAAGAUAGUACCACAAGAGGAAGAGACGGCUAACUCUGUGCCAGCAGCCGCGGUAAUACAGAGGUCUCAAGCGUUGUUCGGAAUCACUGGGCGUAAAGCGUGCGUAGGCUGUUUCGUAAGUCGUGUGUGAAAGGCGCGGGCUCAACCCGCGGACGGCACAUGAUACUGCGAGACUAGAGUAAUGGAGGGGGAACCGGAAUUCUCGGUGUAGCAGUGAAAUGCGUAGAUAUCGAGAGGAACACUCGUGGCGAAGGCGGGUUCCUGGACAUUAACUGACGCUGAGGCACGAAGGCCAGGGGAGCGAAAGGGAUUAGAUACCCCUGUAGUCCUGGCAGUAAACGGUGCACGCUUGGUGUGCGGGGAAUCGACCCCCUGCGUGCCGGAGCUAACGCGUUAAGCGUGCCGCCUGGGGAGUACGGUCGCAAGAUUAAAACUCAAAGAAAUUGACGGGGACCCGCACAAGCGGUGGAGUAUGUGGCUUAAUUCGAUGCAACGCGAAGAACCUUACCUGGGCUUGACAUGUAAUGAACAACAUGUGAAAGCAUGCGACUCUUCGGAGGCGUUACACAGGUGCUGCAUGGCCGUCGUCAGCUCGUGUCGUGAGAUGUUUGGUUAAGUCCAGCAACGAGCGCAACCCCUGUUGCCAGUUACCAGCACGUGAAGGUGGGGACUCUGGCGAGACUGCCCAGAUCAACUGGGAGGAAGGUGGGGACGACGUCAGGUCAGUAUGGCCCUUAUGCUCAGGGCUGCACACGUACUACAAUGCCCAGUACAGAGGGGGCCGAAGCCGCGAGGCGGAGGAAAUCCUGAAAACUGGGCCCAGUUCGGACUGUAGGCUGCAACCCGCCUACACGAAGCCGGAAUCGCUAGUAAUGGCGCAUCAGCUACGGCGCCGUGAAUACGUUCCCGGGUCUUGUACACACCGCCCGUCACAUCAUGGAAGCCGGUCGCACCCGAAGUAUCUGAAGCCAACCGCAAGGAGGCAGGGUCCUAAGGUGAGACUGGUAACUGGGAUG
rnacentral:rRNA from 1 species